UACGGAGGGUGCAAGCGUUAAUCGGAAUUACUGGGCGUAAAGCGUGCGCAGGCGGUUUGUUAGGUCUGCUGUGAAAUCCCCGAGCUCAACUUGGGAAUUGCAGUGGAUACUGGCAGGCUGGAGUAUGGUAGAGGAAGGUGGAAUUCCCGGUGUAGCAGUGAAAUGCGUAGAGAUCGGGAGGAACACCAGUGGCGAAGGCGGCCUUCUGGACCAAUACUGACGCUCAUGCACGAAAGCGUGGGGAGCAAACAGG
rnacentral:rRNA from 1 species